CACGUAGGGCGCAAGCGUUAUCCGGAAUUAUUGGGCGUAAAGAGCUCGUAGGCGGUUUGUCGCGUCUGCCGUGAAAGUCCGGGGCUCAACUCCGGAUCUGCGGUGGGUACGGGCAGACUAGAGUGAUGUAGGGGGAGACUGGAAUUCCUGGUGUAGCGGGUGAAAAUGCGCAGAUAUCAGGAGGAACACCGAUGGCGAAGGCAGGGUCUCUGGGCAUAACUGACGCUGAGGAGCGAAAGCAUGGGGAGCGAACAGG
rnacentral:rRNA from 1 species